UCCUACAUCAGAGGAAGUUUAUUGAAACCGUUCUAAAGGAUCAUGGUAUGGAUCAAUGCAAGCCGGCGAAAACUCCGCUAGAACUGGAUCUGCAUAAGGUUUUGGCAGAUGGGGGUGGUGAUGAGUUGAAUCGUCAAGAACAAUUACGAUACCAGUCUUUGGUUGGUGCAUUGAAUUACCUAGCCUGCAACACGAGACCCGAUAUCUCGGCGGCUGUGAGCUUCUUGGCUCAGUAUAAUUCAUGUUGCCGAUCUGUACACAUGAAGGCAGCUAAGCGUGUUCUACGUUACAUAAAGGGAACUUGUUUGUAGACAACCAGAGCGCCAUGGCGUUGGCGAACAAUCCUGUUUCUCACCGGCGGA